CCUACGGGUGGCAGCAGUGAGGAAUAUUGGUCAAUGGACGAGAGUCUGAACCAGCCAAGUAGCGUGAAGGAUGACUGCCCUAUGGGUUGUAAACUUCUUUUAUAUGGGAAUAAAACGUUCCACGUGUGGGAUUUUGUAUGUACAAUAUGAAUAAGGAUCGGCUAACUCCGUGCCAGCAGCCGCGGUAAUACGGAGGAUCCGAGCGUUAUCCGGAUUUAUUGGGUUUAAAGGGAGCGUAGGUGGCUUGUUAAGUGAGUUGUGAAAUUUUGCGGCUCAACCGUAAAAGUGCAGUUGAAACUGGCAGUCUUGAGUACAGUAGAGGUGGGCGGAAUUCGUGGUGUAGCGGUGAAAUGCUUAGAUAUCACGAAGAACUCCGAUUGCGAAGGCAGCUCACUGGACUGCAACUGACACUGAGGCUCGAAAGUGUGGGUAUCAAACAGGAUUAGAUACCCGGGUAGUC
rnacentral:rRNA from 1 species